rnacentral:rRNA from 1 species
GACCACCGGGAUUGCCUUAGUACGGCGAGUGAAGCGGCAAAAGCUCAAAUAUUGAAAUCUGGUACCUUCGGUGCCCGAGUUGUAAUUUGGAGAGGGCAACUUUGGGGCCGUUCCUUGUCUAUGUUCCUUGGAACAGGACGUCAUAGAGGGUGAGAAUCCCGUGUGGCGAGGAGUGCGGUUCUUUGUAAAGUGCCUUCGAAGAGUCGAGUUGUUUGGGAAUGCAGCUCUAAGUGGGUGGUAAAUUCCAUCUAAAGCUAAAUAUUGGCGAGAGACCGAUAGCGAACAAGUACAGUGAUGGAAAGAUGAAAAGAACUUUGAAAAGAGAGUGAAAAAGUACGUGAAAUUGUUGAAAGGGAAGGGCAUUUGAUCAGACAUGGUGUUUUGUGCCCUCUGCUCCUUGUGGGUAGGGGAAUCUCGCAUUUCACUGGGCCAGCAUCAGUUUUGGUGGCAGGAUAAAUCCAUAGGAAUGUAGCUUGCCUCGGUAAGUAUUAUAGCCUGUGGGAAUACUGCCAGCUGGGACUGAGGACUGCGACGUAAGUCAAGGAUGCUGGCAUAAUGGUUAUAUGCCGCCCGUCUGGGAAACACCGGAUCAUA